rnacentral:rRNA from 1 species
CUACGGGGUGCUGCAGUGGGGAAUAUUGCACAAUGGGGGAAACCCUGAUGCAGCCAUGCCGCGUGUGUGAAGAAGGCCUUCGGGUUGUAAAGCACUUUCAGUAGGGAGGAAGGUAGUGUAGUUAACACCUGCACUAUUUGACGUUACCUACAGAAGAAGCACCGGCUAACUCCGUGCCAGCAGCCGCGGUAAUACGGAGGGUGCGAGCGUUAAUCGGAAUUACUGGGCGUAAAGCGCAUGCAGGCGGCCUGUUAAGUCAGAUGUGAAAGCCCGGGGCUUAACCUCGGAAUUGCAUUUGAAACUGGCAGGCUAGAGUCUUGUAGAGGGGGGUAGAAUUUCAGGUGUAGCGGUGAAAUGCGUAGAGAUCUGAAGGAAUACCAGUGGCGAAGGCGGCCCCCUGGACAAAGACUGACGCUCAGAUGCGAAAGCGUGGGGAGCAAACAGGAUUAGAUACCCUUGUAGUC